CCUGCAACCUGUUAAAACUUGGCUGACUCUAGUUUCUUGCCAAUGACCUCUCAAUUGCCAAAAGUGUGCUACAGUGGAGCAGCAUGGCAGGAUGUUUGCUAAGACCAGAAGAUGGUCUCUCCAUGACUGGAGUUUGAUGGCAAUCACUGCCACAUGC